GACGAACGCUGGCGGCGUGCUUAACACAUGCAAGUCGAACGGAGAGGCCCUGCUUUUGUGGGGUGCUCGAGUGGCGAACGGGUGAGUAACACGUGAGUAACCUGCCCUUGACUUUGGGAUAACUUCAGGAAACUGGGGCUAAUACCGGAUAGGAGCUCCUGCUGCAUGGUGGGGGUUGGAAAGUUUCGGCGGUUGGGGAUGGACUCGCGGCUUAUCAGCUUGUUGGUGGGGUAGGUGCUUACCAAGGCUUUGACGGGUAGCCGGCCUGAGAGGGUGACCGGCCACAUUGGGACUGAGAUACGGACCAGACUCCUACGGGAGGCAGCAGUGGGGAAUAUUGCACAAUGGGCGGAAGCCUGAUGCAGCAACGCCGCGUGCGGGAUGACGGCCUUCGGGUUGUAAACAGCUUUCGCCUGUGACGAAGCGUGAGUGACGGUAAUGGGUAAAGAAGCACCGGCUAACUACGUG
rnacentral:rRNA from 1 species